GACGAACGCUGGCGGCGUGCUUAACACAUGCAAGUCGAACGGAAAGGCCCUGCUUUUGUGGGGUGCUCGAGUGGCGAACGGGUGAGUAACACGUGAGUAACCUGCCCUUGACUUUGGGAUAACUUCAGGAAACUGGGGCUAAUACCGGAUAGGAGCUCCUGCUGCAUGGUGGGGGUUGGAAAGUUUCGGCGGUUGGGGAUGGACUCGCGGCUUAUCAGCUUGUUGGUGGGGUAGUGGCUUACCAAGGCUUUGACGGGUAGCCCGCCUGAGAGGGUGACCGGCCACAUUGGGACUGAGAUACGGCCCAGACUCCUACGGGAGGCAGCAGUGGGGAAUAUGGCACAAUGGGCGGAAGCCUGAUGCAGAAACGCCGCGUGCGGGAUGACGGCCUUCGGGUUGUAAACCGCUUUCGCCUGUGACGAAGCGUGAGUGACGGUAAUGGGUAAAGAAGCACCGGCUAACUACGUG
rnacentral:rRNA from 1 species